rnacentral:pre_miRNA from 1 species
UUAACUCGACUUUGUUUGGAGCUGUAACGUUUACCUACGUUUGCCGCUAGGGGCGCUGUUCCAACUGCAUACAAAUUCGAGUUA